rnacentral:rRNA from 1 species
GGAUAUGAGAAGGCAGACCCGGGGAACUGAAACAUCUAAGUACCCGGAGGAAGAGAAAGCAAAUGCGAUUCCCUGAGUAGCGGCGAGCGAAACGGGACCAGCCCAAACCAAGAGGCUUGCCUCUUGGGGUUGUAGGACACUCUGUACGGAGUUACAAAGGAACGAGGUAGAUGAAGAGGUCUGGAAAGGCCCGCCAUAGGAGGUAACAGCCCUGUAGUCAAAACUUCGUUCUCUCCUGAGUGGAUCCUGAGUACGGCGGAACACGUGAAAUUCCGUCGGAAUCCGGGAGGACCAUCUCCCAAGGCUAAAUACUCCCUAGUGACCGAUAGUGAACCAGUACCGUGAGGGAAAGGUGAAAAGCACCCCGGAAGGGGAGUGAAAGAGAUCCUGAAACCGUGUGCCUACAAGUAGUCAGAGCCCGUUAACGGGUGAUGGCGUGCCUUUUGUAGAAUGAACCGGCGAGUUACGAUCCCGUGCAAGGUUAAGCAGAAGAUGCGGAGCCGCAGCGAAAGCGAGUCUGAAUAGGGCGAAUUGAGUACGUGGUCGUAGACCCGAAACCAGGUGAUCUACCCAUGUCCAGGGUGAAGUUCAGGUAACACUGAAUGGAGGCCCGAACCCACGCACGUUGAAAAGUGCGGGGA